rnacentral:lncRNA from 1 species
UGAUCUAUCGACUUUUUUAUUGUAACUGAUCUAGUGACUUUGUUAUUGUAAGGUCUAACGGUUCUCAUAUCUGUUUUUAUAUAUGUAUCUAUGUGUGUAUGCAUGCAUCAAAUACUUCAUAAUAAUCUUUGUUUGAUGAAAAUCCAAAGUUUUCCUUUUCUGAUCUAUUGACUCUGUUAUUGUAACUGAUCUAGUGACCUUGUUAUUGUAAUAUCUAAUGGGUCUCAUAUAUGUAUGUAUGUGCAUAUGCAUGCAUGCAUGCAUGUUUGUACAUAUGACUUUCUUAUAUAUGAUAUAUGUCUUCUAGAUCCUGUGACUAUAAAUUGAAUAUGAACUUCAUAGAUGCUGUUAUGCACUCAAUCCAGACUCCCAGAUUACUACUCAUAUGUAGUUACAUUCCAGAUAUCAGUAGCUGAUUCAUAAUCUUUUACCAUUUCAUAUUAUUGCUUCUAUCUGAUUAUUUUGUGAAGUUACAACUUCGAUUGACGAUCAUGAUAUUAAAUCUUGAACAAAUGUUUGCUGCAAUUUAGCAAAAAUGAUGCUCUAAUCCUAAGUAAACUGUUGCGGAACAAGUCGAUCAGGAUAUUCAAUCUUGAACAAAUGUUUGCUGCAAUUUAGCAAAAAUGACGCUCUAAUCCUAAGUAAACUGUUGCGGAACAUGAUCGUUGACCAUUUUAUCAUAAACUUCAUCAAAAUGACGUAUCCCAUGUUUUGUUUAUGGAUAAUGAUAUUUCAUUCAAUUGAGACCUAUGUAGAUCAAGAUAUUGUCAAGAGUUUUUUUUCUUUUUUCAUAAAUUCAAUAUCAUAGAUCUCUUUGUGCUUUUCUUGGUCGUUGCACCCUCUUUAUAGGCCCUUCAACUAGAGCUUGAAUGCCCUCUACCAUCUAGUGUUUGGUAGUGAGUUCUAGUAUUUAGAGUUCUUUCCAAGUCCAAACC